rnacentral:rRNA from 1 species
AUCAUUAACUGAAUCCAUAGGUUAAUGAGGCGAACCGGGGGAACUGAAACAUCUAAGUACCCCGAGGAAAAGAAAUCAACCGAGAUUCCCCCAGUAGCGGCGAGCGAACGGGGAGGAGCCCAGAGCCUGAAUCAGCAUGUGUGUUAGUGGAAGCGUCUGGAAAGGCGCGCGAUACAGGGUGACAGCCCCGUACACAAAAGCGCAUGUGCUGUGAGCUCGAUGAGUAGGGCGGGACACGUGAUAUCCU